CUGGAGAGGAGACUGGAAUUUACGGUGUAGCGGUGAAAUGCGUAGAUAUCGUAAGGAAGACCAGUGGCGAAGGCGGGUCUCUGGACAGUUCCUGACGCUGAGGCACGAAGGCCAGGGGAGCAAACGGGAUUAGAUACCCCGGUAGUCCUGGCAGUAAACGGUGCACGUUUGGUGUGGGAGGAUUCGACCCCUUCUGCGCCGGAGCUAACGCGUUAAACGUGCCGCCUGGGGAGUACGGUCGCAAGAUUAAAACUCAAAGAAAUUGACGGGGGCCCGCACAAGCGGUGGAGUAUGUGGCUCAAUUCGAUGCAACGCGAAGAACCUUACCAGGCCUUGACAUGCAUCUCUAAGUUGGUGAAAGCCAGCGAGUCCCGAAAGGGACAAUUUGCACAGGUGCUGCAUGGCUGUCGUCAGCUCGUGUCGUGAGAUGUUGGGUUAAGUCCCGCAACGAGCGCAACCCCUGUGAACUGUUGCCACCGAGCCGUGAGGCUCGAGCACUCUGUUCAGACUGCCCCGUUCUAACGGGGAGGAAGGUGGGGACGACGUCAAGUCAGUAUGGCCCUUACGGCCUGGGCUGCACACGUACUACAAUGCCCAGUACAGAACGAUCCGAGACCGCAAGGUGGAGGAAAUCACUAAAACUGGGCCCAGUUCAGAUUGAAGUCUGCAACUCGACUUCAUGAAGCCGGAAUCGCUAGUAAUGGCGCAUCAGCUACGGCGCCGUGAAUACGUUCCCGGGCCUUGUACACACCGCCCGUCACAUCAUGGAAGUCGCUUGUAGCCGAAGCCNGGUGUGCUAACCGCAAGGAGGCAGCCGUCUACGCUAUGAGCGGUAACUGGGAUGAAGUCGUAACAAGGUACCAAUCCCGCGG
rnacentral:rRNA from 1 species